rfam:Brachypodium distachyon strain Bd21 chromosome 1, whole genome shotgun sequence.
CAAAUACUCCCUCCGUCCAACAAAAGAUGUCUCAAAUUUAUCAAAAUUUGGAUGUAUCUAGACAUGACUUAGUGUAUAGAUGCAUUCAAAUUUAGUCAAAGUUGAGACAUCGUUUGUUGGACGGAGGGAGUACCAA